rnacentral:rRNA from 1 species
GACGAACGCUGGCGGCGUGCCCAAUACAUGCAAGUCGAGCGGACUUGAUGGAGCUUGCUCCUGAUAGCCAGCGGCGGACGGGUGAGUAACACGUGGGCAACCUGCCUGUAAGACUGGGAUAACUUCGGGAAACCGGAGCUAAUACCGGAUACGUUCUUUUCUCGCAUGAGAGAAGAUGGAAAGACGGUUUCGGCUGUCACUUACAGAUGGGCCCGCGGCGCAUUAGCUAGUUGGUGGGGUAAUGGCUCACCAAGGCGACGAUGCGUAGCCGACCUGAGAGGGUGAUCGGCCACACUGGGACUGAGACACGGCCCAGACUCCUACGGGAGGCAGCAGUAGGGAAUCUUCCGCAAUGGACGAAAGUCUGACGGAGCAACGCCGCGUGAGUGAAGAAGGUUUUCGGAUCGUAAAACUCUGUUGUCAGGGAAGAACAAGUACCAUAGUAACUGAUGGUACCUUGACGGUACCUGACCAGAAAGCCACGGCUAACUACGUGCCAGCCGCCGCAGUAAUAC